AUUGAACGCUGGCGGCAUGCCUUACACAUGCAAGUCGAACGGCAGCUCGGGUACUUGCACCUGGUGGCGAGUGGCGAACGGGUGAGUAAUACAUCGGAACAUGUCCUGUAGUGGGGGAUAGCCCGGCGAAAGCCGGAUUAAUACCGCAUACGAUCCACGGAUGAAAGCGGGGGACCUUCGGGCCUCGCGCUAUAGGGUUGGCCGAUGGCUGAUUAGCUAGUUGGUGGGGUAAAGGCCUACCAAGGCGACGAUCAGUAGCUGGUCUGAGAGGACGACCAGCCACACUGGGACUGAGACACGGCCCAGACUCCUACGGGAGGCAGCAGUGGGGAAUUUUGGACAAUGGGCGAAAGCCUGAUCCAGCAAUGCCGCGUGUGUGAAGAAGGCCUUCGGGUUGUAAAGCACUUUUGUCCGGAAAGAAAUCCUUGGCUCUAAUACAGUCGGGGGAUGACGGUACCGGAAGAAUAAGCACCGGCUAACUACGUG
rnacentral:rRNA from 1 species